ACAGCAGUAGCCGCGGGAAUACGUAGGUCCCGAGCGUUGUCCGGAUUUAUUGGGCGUAAAGGGAGCGCAGGCGGUUUAGUAAGUCUGAAGUUAAAGGCAUUGGCUCAACCAAUGUAUGCUUUGGAAACUGUUAGACUUGAGUGCAGAAGGGGAGAGUGGAAUUCCAUGUGUAGCGGUGAAAUGCGUAGAUAUAUGGAGGAACACCGGUGGCGAAAGCGGCUCUCUGGUCUGUCACUGACGCUGAGGCUCGAAAGCGUGGGUAGCGAACAGGAUUAGAUACCCCCGUAGUCCCUGUCUCUUAUACA
rnacentral:rRNA from 1 species